UUUAAUAGACAAUUUAAUAAUGGUUAUAUACCUUUUGCAUCAUGAUUUAAUGAUUUAAUUUUAGUUAAUUCUAUUUUUUCGAAAUUACUAGAUUUUACCAAUAUUUCUAUUUACUUGGGUAAUGUAAAUAAAAUUUUGGUACGUUUUGAUAAGUUACACGUUGGUGAUUAUAACUAAUUAGUGAUAAUUUGUAUAUAAUAAAUUUUAUUAUUUAUUAUAAGUUUAUUUAACAUUUUUAUUAACUAAAUAGUAUUGGAUUAAUAUUAUCCUUUAUUCUGUAAUAAGAUAAACAUUAUAGUUAUAGUUAAUUUAUACUUUUCACUAUUUUAAACUUAUUAUUUUUAUUAUGUUAUAAAUAAGUAGAAAAAUAGUAAUAUUAUUUCUCGUGGGAGUCUGAACUGUUUAUUAAAAACAUUUCUGAGUUAAUUAUUUACUCAGUAACCCCUGCUCAUCGUUAUAGUUUAAACUAUAAUAAGAAGCCGCAGUAUUUUGACUGUGCUAAGGUAGCAUAAUUAAUUGCCUCUUAAAUAGAGGAUUGUCUGAAUGGGGAUUUUAGGCUCAAUCUAAUUUUAUUACUUUUUGAAAUUAGUUUGUUGUUGCAGAACACAACAUUAUAAUAUAAGACGGAAAGACCCUAGGAGCUUAAAAUUUAAAGUUUUAUUUUGGGCAAAUUUACUAAUUUAAGUAAUUUAUAAACCUAAUGGUAUAAAAAUAAAGUUACCCUAGGGAUAACAGGGUUAGAUGUAUUAAGAGUUCUUAUCAAAUUACAUAAUUGCCACCUCGAUGUUGACUUAAAUUUACUUUAUUGUGUAGCAGCUUUAAAAGUAAGCCUGUUCGGCUUUUAAAAUUUUUCAUGAGUUGAGUUAAGACCGGUGUAAGCCAGGUCGGUUCUUAUCUAUAACGGUUUUACUAUAGUACGAAAGGAUUUAGUAAAAAGUAUUUUACUUAACGUUUAUUUUU
rnacentral:rRNA from 1 species